rnacentral:rRNA from 1 species
GACGGAGGAUGCAAGCGUUAUCCGGAAUGAUUGGGCGUAAAGCGUCCGCAGGUGGCAGUUCAAGUCUGCUGUCAAAGACCGGGGCUUAACUUCGGAAAGGCAGUGGAAACUGAACAGCUAGAGUAUGGUAGGGGCAGAGGGAAUUCCUGGUGUAGCGGUGAAAUGCGUAGAGAUCAGGAGGAAUACCGGUGGCGAAAGCGACUCUCUGGACGGCAACUGACGCUGAGGCACGAAAGCGUGGGGAGCAAACAGG